UACGUAGGUGGCAAGCGUUGUCCGAAUUUAUUGGGUUUAAAGGGUGCGUAGGUGGUCUAUUAAGUCAGUGCUGAAAUAUCCCGGCUUAACCGGGAGGGUGGCAUUGAUACUGAUGGACUUGAGUGGAGUUGAGGUAGGCGGAAUUGACGGUGUAGCGGUGAAAUGCUUAGAUAUCGUCAAGAACACCAAUAGCGAAGGCAGCUUACUAAGCUAUAACUGACACUGAUGCACGAAAGUGUGGGGAUCAAACAGG
rnacentral:rRNA from 1 species